rnacentral:rRNA from 1 species
GAUGAACGCUGGCGGCGUGCCUAAUACAUGCAAGUCGAGCGAACGGACGAGAAGCUUGCUUCUCUGCUGUUAGCGGCGGACGGGUGAGUAACACGUGGAUAACCUACCUAUAAGACUGGGAUAACUUCGGGAAACCGGAGCUACUACCGGCUAAUAUUUUGAACCGCAUGGUUCAAAAGUGAAAGACGGUCUUGCUGUCACUUAUAGAUGGAUCCGCGCUGCAUUAGCUAGUUGGUAAGGUAACGGCUUACCAAGGCAACGAUGCAUAGCCGACCUGAGAGGGUGAUCGGCCACACUGGAACUGAGACACGGUCCAGACUCCUACGGGAGGCAGCAGUAGGGAAUCUUGCGCAAUGGGCGAAAGCCUGACGGAGCAACGCCGCGUGAGUGAUGAAGGUCUUCGGAUCGUAAAACUCUGUUAUUAGGGAAGAACAUAUGUGUAAGUAACUGUGCACAUCUUGACGGUACCUAAUCAGAAAGCCACGGCUAACUACGUG